rnacentral:rRNA from 1 species
GUGGGGAAUUUUGGACAAUGGGCGCAAGCCUGAUCCAGCAAUGCCGCGUGCAGGAAGAAGGCCUUCGGGUUGUAAACUGCUUUUGUACGGAACGAAACGGUCCGGGUUAAUACCCUGGGCUAAUGACGGUACCGUAAGAAUAAGCACCGGCUAACUACGUGCCAGCAGCCGCGGUAAUACGUAGGGUGCAAGCGUUAAUCGGAAUUACUGGGCGUAAAGCGUGCGCAGGCGGUUUUGUAAGACAGGAGUGAAAUCCCCGGGCUAAACCUGGGAAUUGCGCUUGUGACUGCAAGGCUGGAGUGCGGCAGAGGGGGAUGGAAUUCCGCGUGUAGCAGUGAAAUGCGUAGAUAUGCGGAGGAACACCGAUGGCGAAGGCAAUCCCCUGGGCCUGCACUGACGCUCAUGCACGAAAGCGUGGGGAGCAAACAGGAUUAGAAACCCGAGUAGUCC